UAAUGAUUUAAUAUGUUCAUAAUAUCCUGACAAGUGCAGACUGGUAGGUGCUUCCCGUACACUCUCAUGCAUAACAACUUACAGAGCGUCCUGAUGGAAGCAGUUGAUGGCUGCGGUGCAGUUGCUUGCUGACCGAAAUGCUGCAUGAACAGACACACAGUGUCAGGUUGUCGUGAUAAGAGCCUGGUACUUGUAAAUGCCAAUUUAAUAAUUGUACAAAAUAUAAUAGUGCUAAACUGCUGGUUUCCACCAACCUUCUGGAAAGUACUCAAGCUGCCCAUAUGCAUAGAAAAGAGAUAAAGCCAUUAACGGUUCUUCUAAUUGGGACCCAGAGUCCAUUAAGAAUGCAGUUAGCUUCACACUGCACAUGCAGGAAUGCACCCAUAUCAUUUUUAAGCUUUUAGAGCUGUUACAACAUGUCUGUGUGCCUCUGUCUUUCUCUUACAUCUCUACUCAGGUUAUCAAGGCUAAUAACGGGAUCCCAAGUGAUUGCAAACCAGACUUCUGGUCUAUUUUAUGCACACAGGGUGCAAUAAGGUAUGCAGGUUGUGAAGCCUGGCAGCCCUUUAGGCUGCCCCCCCCCUUCAAGCAGCUGGCAACUAACUGAGAAUUUUCACGUGUGAAAAUCUCCUCAUCUCAAUGCAAACUAAAGUAGCACCACAGGUGGAAGCACAACACUUAGUGUUUUGCUUGUUAUCAGCAGCUGUGGCGUAAACAUUGGCUGGAGGCAGACUGGUGAUUGCUCCUUCAGGAGGUGGGACUGCUGUAAAACUGAAGGAAAUGAAAUUUCAGGGCAGGAGCUGGAUGAAAAUGCUGCCUGCUAGAAAGCAGAGGGAGGUGAGUCACGGCAACUUGACUGGCUUUCUGUUGCUACAGUACCAUGAUGUUAUUCUACUGUUUCCUCAGAAGUUACAGUGGCUGCAGUCACUCAAAGCUGCUUUGUGAGGGGAAAGGUACCAUAGGUAUGUAAGGUGUGCUGGGGUAGAUCUGUGUUUUAAAGGGGCCAUGUAGAAGCAUGAGGUUAUGCAGCUUCAGGACCAAGCUGAGAAAUUGUGCCAAAUCCCAUUUGGAAACUAGGAGGAAAAAAAAAGACAUCGUUUAUUAUUGUUAUGAUUAUUAUUACUGUUUCAACCUUCCAUAUCUGUGUAAACCUUCAAAUAAAUUAAAACAGUAACCUUUUUUUCCUCUCUAUGUUUUCACAAAACUGUUUGCUAUAUGUGCACUAAUCCUUAGGCCAGCUGCAGCAAUCAGUGUCUGCCUGAACCGAUGGCAGAACCGGGCUCACAUGGGGGAAGAGAAUGCACGUGAAGGGAGCAUUAAAGCACAUGGGCUGUGCCUUUGGGAUCUGAGUGGAUUUUGGAGGAAAGCAUUUUGCUGGGCUAACGUACUUCCUUGUGUAUGCCAAACCUAACAGUACCUGGAAUGGAUGGGACCAGCCUCGCUCCAGUUCUAACACGGCAGCCUCCUAUGCGUGCAGGCAGUGUGUGCACUCACUGUCAUCUUUUGUUUACAAAUGUAUUCUUGUCAUUUUGAUAACUGCCUUGGUGGCUUGGUUGUCACUUCUUCUAUUGCGACUAGCUGAAGAACAGAGGAAAAGAAAUGUAACUCUCCAUUGGUAAGGAAUUAGAUGGAUUUCUCCUUUUUACCUAAAGGGUCUUCUUCACAAAAAGCCCUGUACAUAAAGGCCUCUCUUGUAUGAAACAUUACUCUGUAACAUUAAGAUUGGGAUUUCAAGACCUAGUGUAAUUCUUUGCUUCAAAACAGAAAGCUGUGACGGGUAGGAAUCACCCCGGGAGCUCCAUUUGUCCUGUAAAUAUGCUCCAUUCGUGCACAGUCAGAUCAUGGAGGCUGUGUGCUUUCCUGAACUGACUGCCUCAGCCGGCGGGGGCGAGGGUUACCCGCCGACGGCCGUUGGGCUCGCGCGGGCCGUUGGCGGUCCCUGAGGUGAGGCGGGAGCGCUGCCCCCCGGCGGCUGAGGACGAGAGCAGCUGAGGGCCGGGCGGUGGCGGUGGGACGCGCCUCCUCGGAGCGGCCUGCAGAGUAUCGUUCUCUGCUCCAACAGACUUCGCAGCCUGGUCUUUCUUGCAGUGUUCCUCUUGCCAGUGUGCAUCCCCCGACAAGGCGCUUUCUGAUGAUGGAUAAACAAGCAACUGCUAAAUUAUCUACUGUUUUUACUUCGGGGGCUGUCAGAGGAUGCAGGAAGAGGGACAGAACGUUACAAACUGCAAAACUGAAUGCUUCUUUGGCAUCUAAAAUCAAAUCUAAAUUAAUAAGUAAGUCCCAUUAAAGUAAAACUGAAGCCAUUUACUGUACUUAGGAUGUAUGACUUC
rnacentral:lncRNA from 1 species